UGGGAGAGCGAGUGCGGCGAAGGCGAGAGGCGAGCCGAGCAGGCCGCCCAGCCCGCGGCCCGAGCGCCGGCGCGAGGAGGGGCGCCGCGGCCCACCCUCCUUCCUGCCUGGCCGCGGGCCGGCGGGCCGCCGCGCCCGACCCCAUGGCCACCCAGGCCUCCGGGCCGCGAAGUCGCAGCGCCAGACCCAGGGCCCCGAGUGAGCGCGGGCACCGAGGAUCUCAUCUGGUCACCGCGUUCUGGAAGAGGCGAGAGGGAGAGCGUGAGCGAGAGGAGGAGAGAGACGGCGGGGGAAAGGGAGACGGCGAGACGCGCAGCGCCGGCGCCCGGGAGACCCAGGAGGAGCCCGCAGGUCCCAACUGAGCCUGUUCUCACGCCAGGAGCUCCUGGCGCACUCCUCUCAUCACCUGCCGGAGCUGGGCUCUGUUAUCAUCCCCAUUUGACAGAAGAGCACACCAAGGCCCAGAGGCUACUGCUGCCUGGCGGCCAGCCUUCUCCUCGCCAGUUAACCCUGCUUCGUGCAGUCCUGCUGCCCAGCUGUUGCUCCUGCCUGUCCCCUUGGCCCUGCCUGGAAGACCCUCACUCUCCCAUGCCCUGUGCAGAGCCUGCUGCCUCCUCUGCCAUCUCUUCCACAGAGAGGCCAGGGCUUGAGCACACAGGCCAGAGGUUGUCCUCUGGCAAUGCCCCCAGGUGGGCGCUGUUUGGCCAACCCAGGGUUUUAACAAUAACAUUGGAUUUCACAUACAAAUUCUACAUUUUGCUUCCCUGAAAAAAAAAAUCAGGUCGGCAUUGCAGGGCCACACACCCACAGGGCACUAUCGGCAGAGCUGCCACGGGGCUGCCACCUUCUGAGUCACCUGGUUCCUUGCAGUGCCCACUCAUGUGCCAGCUGGGCCCUGGCACUCUGGAGCUUGCCACACUGCUUAGUCCUGGGUUCCUGCCCUGGCAUCCUGGCUUUCCCUGAUCUGAGGCAGAUUAUGUCUUUGAAGCUCAUCUAGUAAAUGUCAAAACUGAGAAACUGAUUCCAAACUGGGUCUUGGUGUUUUCUGAGAAUACUCCAGGCCAGAAAGAAAAAGAAAGGGUGCACCAGGUGCGGGGCACUGCGUGGGGAAAGAUAAGGAGGUGUGAAGGGACGCAGAACGCUUGGGGAAUAAUACCGUGUUCUCCUUGCCUGUUAAGUACUUGGUUGGCAAAGCCUGAAUACUAACACCAAUCAGAUUCUGCUUGUUCUAUAAGAUGAUUCAUUCAUUCCAGGCAUUCAGAUGACCCUCACAGCAUCCCUGAUAGAGCACCAUUGUGGGUGCUUUUAUUCUCAUUUUCAGCAGAUGAGAACACUGGAUCUCGGGGAAGUGACAUGGCAUGCCCCAGGUCCCAGUAAGGGCAGGACCCUGACAAGAACUCCGACUCCUGACUCCCAGUCCAGUGCUCGUUCUCUCUAAGACACUGAAAAAAUUGGCUCUUCGGUGGGCUUCUUUCUCUGGUGCGUUUUUUAAAAUGCUCCUUUAGUUAACAUGCGGGAGGGAUUUCCAUGUUCUCGUAUAUAACCUUUUGCUGAAGUGACAAUGUGCGAUAAAAGGGUCCCAGGAGAGCCGGUGUAAUUUGGGCUGUGAGGGACAGAGAAUACCAAUGCAGAAGCCUCUGCAGAAGGCCUGGCUGCUCCUGGGGGCUGGGGGACCCGGGGCCCCCUCACCACCCAAUGCAAAGGUCUGGCCAUCUUGGGCCCUGUGACCACGUGUACGUUCUGAUUUGUCUUCCACUGCUGGGGUUUAUUUUUCUCACAUUUUUGGGUGAGGAUCUUGGUUCCUAGAGGAGAGAGGUCUAGGCAGAGAGAAAAUGAGCAUCUGGGACACAGGGAGGGAUUGAGGAGGAUGCGUGAGGACAGACAUUGAAGCCUUGUUUCUAGUCAAGCGCUGGCUAGUUGGGGGGUGUCACACAAAGGAGUCCACAUAGAAGGCAAACUGAAGGGCAUGUUCAAGUGCUGUUCACGCCUGCCUUUAGCCCCCAAGGACCAAAAAAGGGGCUUGACAUAGCGAGACCCUCUCUCUACAAUUUUUUUUUUUAAUUUAGCCAGGCAUGGUGGUGAGUACCUGUAGUCCCAGCUACUCCAGAAGCUGAGGUGGGAGGAUCACCUGAGCCUGGGAGGUCAAGGCUGCCGUGAGCCAAGAUUGUUCCACUGCACUCCAGCCUGGGUGACAGAGCGAGACCUUGUCUCAAAACAAUAAAAAGUUGGGGGGAUGUUAAGGAGGUUCCAGUUAAUUGUGGCUGAUUCUAAACUGGGAGGCUUAAUAAAUGGUAAUUAUCCUCCUGUGGGAGCAGACCAGAGCUAACCAAGCCCACCGGGAAUGGGGUUCAUGGAGACAGACCCCGUUUUCCCUCCCACCCACCUGAAGGCUCCAAGAAUUUCCACUGCAGAGGUGUCAGGGACAGACCUGGUGCAGACCAGUGGGCCCAUCACCUGCUUCCUUAUGUGCAGUUCAGCGUGUUUAGGUGUAUUACAUGCCUGCCUGCGUGUCUGCG
ensembl:lncRNA